rnacentral:rRNA from 1 species
GAUGAACGCUAUCUACAGGCUUAACACAUGCAAGUCGAGGGAACGGCGCACGGGUGAGUAACACGUAUCCAACCUUCCCUUUAAUCGGGGAUAGCCUUUCGAAAUAAAUAUUAAUACCCAAUAUAAAGGAUGGGGCUGCGUUCCAUUAGGUUGUUGUUGAGGUAACGGCCACCCAAGCCUUCGAUGGAUAUGGGAUAUGAGGGGAAGCUACCCCGCAUUGGAACUGCGACCCCGUCCAAACUCCUACGGGAGGCAGCAGUGAGGAAUAUUGGUCAAUGGGCGUUAGCCUGAACCAGCCAAGUAGCGUGAAGGAUGAAGGCUUAUGGUUCGUAAACUUCUUUUAUAUAAGAAUAUGUAUUAUAUGAAUAAGGAUCGGCUAACUCCGUGCCAGCAGCCGCGGUAAUAC